rnacentral:rRNA from 1 species
UACGUAGGGCGCAAGCGUUGUCCGGAAUUAUUGGGCGUAAAGAGCUCGUAGGCGGUUUGUCGCGUCUGCUGUGAAAACCUAAGGCUCAACCUUGGGCUUGCAGUGGGUACGGGCAGACUAGAGUGCGGUAGGGGGUGACUGGAAUUCCUGGUGUAGCGGUGGAAUGCGCAGAUAUCAGGAGGAACACCGAUGGCGAAGGCAGGUCACUGGGCCGCAACUGACGCUGAGGAGCGAAAAGCAUGGGGGAGCGAACAGG